CACGUAGGGCGCAAGCGUCGUCCGGAAUUAUUGGGCGUAAAGAGCUCGUAGGCGGUCUGUUGCGUCCGCUGUGAAAACUCGGGGCUUAACCCCGAGCCUGCAGUGGAUACGGGCAGACUAGAGGUAGGUAGGGGAGAAUGGAAUUCCCGGUGUAGCGGUGAAAUGCGCAGAUAUCGGGAGGAACACCGGUGGCGAAGGCGGUUCUCUGGGCCUUACCUGACGCUGAGGAGCGAAAGCGUGGGGAGCGAACAGG
rnacentral:rRNA from 1 species